ensembl:lncRNA
CACCUCUUGCCUCCCAUCUUAGGAAACUCAGCUGCUUGAUUUUUCACUCUCAGGAGAUGAGACAGCCGGUCUUGGGGGAAAGUGGAAACCGCAGCACACACGACGCAUUUUUCAAAUGCUUGUGUUACCCAGAGCCCUCGAGAACGAGAAAGGAAGCUGGCGGCUUGGCAGGUGUGGAGGCCCCUUCCCGCAGACAUCUGUCAGCGGCUGUGGAAGCCCAGCCCCCUCCUCUUUGCAGAGGAAGAGCCCUGGAUUCCUGGCAAGAGCAGGCAUCCGUUCCACCGGUAUGUUCCAGCUGCUCGUCAUCCUGGAAGGAGGGUGGAAAAGCAAGAGAAAGAUUCCUCCUGGUAGAGCCAGAGCCGCUUGCUCCUCAGAUGUCAGACCUACGCAGGAGUUUCUGCAGGCAGAGGCACCCCGCUGCACCCGGGGCAUGCGGGCACUGCCUGCCUCUGCGUGGGGGAGGGCACCAUCUGCGAUUCGGCCAGGGUCUGGGUGAGCCCGCUGACGGAAGUCGUGAUUUGGAAUAAGCACUUAGGGGUCGCGCGGUGGUCAGAGAGGCGAUCAGGCCCACCAGUUCUUAUCCCCUCCCGAUCAGGACCGAGGCUCAGCUGCUGUGACAUGCUACAGCCCACCACGUGUUCACGUGGAAACACUUCUACACGGCUGCAUAAUAUUUCAUUGAAUGUAUACACCAUAUUUAUCUAUUCAUCUGUGGAUUGACAUUUGAGAUGCUUCCACCUGUUGAUCAUAGUGAAUAAUGCAGUGAACAUGGAUGUGCAACUAUCUCUUCAAGAUCCUGAUUUGAAUUCUUUUGGAUAUAUACCCAGAAGUGGGAUUGCUGUAUCAUAUGAUGUUGACCAUCUUAGUUGCCCUUUUUCACACCUUCCCAAGCAAAGGCCUCUGAAAGUGUGCCGCCCAGAACUGGACCUGAUCCGACCAGGGAAGGGAUCUUGUGGCCAAAGGGCAUUUGCUGUCUGCCUUGAUUUUAAAGUGUCUGCAUUCAAAGACUUGGCCGGCGCCGCCCCUCAGGAGCUGGGGUGCCUUCAGACAGACAUCACCUCCCACUUGAAUUCCGAGGGCGAACUCCAGAAUGGCCUUCCCACUCUCCCUGUCUCAGCUUAACUUGGCUUCUCUCUACGAUUUUCCAUUUUAAAAUUUGUGCUGUGCUCUUGAUUCCAAUGUAAAGGUUGUUUGUGAGUGCCUUUAGGAGUAAAGAUCAAGUUCAAAACCGAAAUACCACAAGAUGCCCAGCGGGAGCCACGUGGAGAAUCUUUCACUUACCUACCAAACCAGGCCAGGAGGCCCAAGAGGCCUUUGCCACUUCCAGCUGAGUCACCACCGGCUCCACACCUUCUGCUUUUUCCCCUGAAAAUGCUUUCCCGUCUCUGCUCAGUGACUAACUCCAUCACCAAUGUGACCCAGUUUGUUUGGCAAGAUGUGAUUUUUUUUAACUCACGCUGCUUUCACUGGUCACGACUCUCACAGGCAUUUAGCGGCUCCCUCUCGGCGUCCGUCUGGCCCUGCUGCCGUGCUGGAUUGAUGGCUCUCUCCCCAGCUGUUCCUUUCCAGCCUGCUCUCCUCUCCCUGGCAAAUCCAUAUUCCAUUUGCUUUUCUGCAGCAUUUUGAUAUCUCCAGAGUCUCCUUAAAAUAGACAGAUAAACACUAAUCUCCAAGGAAGUUGCAAAGCAGAGCCCACAGAUUUGUACCAGCUCGGUAAUCUGCUCUCGAGGGCAGCUGGCUGGAAAGCAUAACAAUGGGAGUCACCAUGGAUGGGCUGCUUAUCAUUUGCAGAGCAUUCUGACUCACGCGGUCUCAUUAAUGUACGCGAUCCCCCACAGCACAGGUACAAGUGGUCCUUCCAUUUUGUAGGUGGGAAAACAAGGCCAAGGGAUGAAGAAGUGGUCUGUACAGUAUGUAGCAGAGAGGGCCAGGACUUGAACCUGCCCUUUUUAAAACUGCUGUAUAAUUUACAUUCAGUAAAAAACACACAGAUCUUCAGUGUCGUUUGAUGAAUUUGACAAAUGUAUACACUUGUGUAACUACCACCAGGAAAGGAUAUGGAACAUUUCCAUCACCCAGAAAGUCCCCUCGUGCCCUUUUCCAGUAAACUCCUAACCACUGUCUGACUUCUACACCAUAGAUUAGUUUGCCUUGAACCUGUCUUCUGACUCCAAACUCCAUAUUCCACGUCCCGUCCUUCUUCCAUUACACAUUACACCUUUGAAAUUAACUCAAUAGGCACCUUGGGUCCCACCUGGCUGGAAUCUAUAGACAUAGGACUUUAGGAAGCCAGGCCAUUGUCUUUCAGCUGAAAAAGUAGGUCAACUGGUGGAGUGGACCUGGAGGCUCACGACUUGGGGAAUGCAUGGAGAGCAAUUCCAAAACCACACAAAGGCCCUGUCUCUAGGUACACUGUGAAGUUGAACGCACUGCUUGCAGGCCUCAGCACUUCCAGGUACAGACGGUUCCUGAAGGAAAACUGUUACAAGGUUUAAAAGAGAGGGGUCAGAAUUCAGCUUUGAGAUAAAAGAACACCAAACUGCAGUCCCGACCUCUGGGACCUCCCCACCCACCCUGAACUGCCGCAGCAUCUGGGGCCACCAGUUCCAGGCAACAUCCUGAAUUUUCACACCAGACUCCUGUGGACUUUUCAUGCCAUCAGGCAUGUGUAAUCUGUAAACGGGGAGUUUUGCGACUGGAGGCCUCCAUUUUAGGGAAAGAAAAAAAAAGAAAGGAAAGAAAGAAUGAAAGCCCAUUCUGUUACUUCCGAGGAUAGGCGGUAAAUGGCACUAACGCUGAGUCCCUUUAGGUGGCAUUCCUAUCAGGCUUUCCUUAAUGAAGGGAUACAAAAUACAGUUAACCUUGUCUGCUUAUCUGCCCACAGUUUUACGCUAAACUCUUUGUUCGCUCCGGUAGGUCAACUGGUUGCUCGGAUCUUGUUUAUACGCAGUGGCAGUGGCGCGCUGGUAAAUGUUUAACAGCUGACUCUCCGGGAGGAAAAAAGCCCUGUUUUGUAGCAUUUGCCGAUCUCCACCUGUCCCUGACAGCGGGUUGGGAGACAGCCCGUGUGCCCCGGCUCAGCACGCUUGCAAGUUCAAUAAUACCUUUAAGAGAGCACACCAUUUCCCCACAGGCAGCACGGAGAAGCGUGGCGCGGGCGGCGCUGCCGGCACCCCAGUGAUCUCCAGGGCACGCGAUUUGUGGGCGGCCCUGUCUGUGCCCUCCGCCUGCUCCUCCAGGCUCUCCCAGGGCGGUUUUCUCUCUCCAAAAGAUAGGUUGUACAGGUGACAGUUUCCAAGGGCCUCCUCCCCUGAGCUGGAAUUUCCAAACAAACCUUCAAAGUCAUUUUUGAAGCGCAGAAUAAACAUAAACUAGCCCGAGAUGAAUUUCCACAAAUCUCCAAGCCCGGGAAUCUGGAUCCCCAGCCUCCACCCUUCUUACAUGGCCUCAUUGAACGGCUGGUCUUUUAAGAGUUUUUAGAACAACCCUAAACACCCAGCUUUCUUGCUCUGUUUUGUUUUUUCUUUAG